rnacentral:tRNA from 1 species
AUUAAUUUAGUUUAUAAAAAUGUAGGAUUGUCAAUCCUAAGAUCUGAGUAUUCAGAAUUAAUU